UAGACUCUGAAGUGCAUGUGU
rnacentral:siRNA from 1 species